AUACUUACCUGGCGUAGGGGACACCGUAAUCAUGAAGGCGGUUCCCCCAGAGAGAGAGGCCCUUCCACUGCACUGCGGUUGGGUCGACCUCUGUGAGUAACUGUAAUGCGUACAACUCGUACGCAUUUUUUGCACUGGGGACUGCGUUCGCGCGGUCCCCUU